UUAAGCAUAUCAGUAAGCAGAGGAAAAGAAAACAACUGUGAUUCCCUUAGUAACUGCGAGUGAAGCGGGAAAAGCCCAUCGUUUAAUCUUCCCGGACUAUGGACGGGACGAAAUGUAACGGUAUGGAUAGGUUCUCUACCAACAAUGUCUGGUCAAAGUCCUCCGGAUUGAGGUGCCAGAGAGGGUGACAGCCCCGUGUGUGGCUGGACAGAGUUGGGUAUGUGGCCGAUUCCGAGAGUCGGGUUGUUUGGGACUGCAACCUAAAGCAGGUGGUAAACUCCACCCAAGGCUAAAUAUUGACACGAAACCGAUAGCGAACAAGUACUGUGAAGGAAAGUUGAAAAGAACUCUGAAAAGAGAGUUAAAAGUACGUGAAACCGCUAACGGGGAAGCGGAAGGCAGUGUCGAGAUUGAGUAAGUGAGUCGUUUCAAGUGUGUUUGGUGUGUCGUGUUGGCGGUGUGUAAUGUAUACUUGGAGCGGCUAGCUUUGCUUGAUGCGUCAGGACUAUUGGUGUGCGAUGGUUCAAUCGUUAGCAUGGCUUCUACGACACCUGACUUGUUCAGGCUCGUGGUUGCGGCUGGCGAUCCGCCUCGUGCGCUGAUAUGUAUGUGAUGGAGCGUUGGUGAUGUAUUGUCGGUUGGUGCGGCGUGGUGCUUCGUGCUGGUCACAUUGUGGCUACGUGCGGAGAAGUCACGUUGUAGUUCAACAACCAGUGCUAGCUUCUGACGUGAUACCUAACUUUCCGACCCGUCUUGAAACACGGACCAAGGAGGCAGAAUCUGCAGCGAGUUGGAGGGUGUAAAACCCGACGGCGCAGUGAAAGCGAGAGAUGAGAUCUGGGGGUUUCGGCCCUUGGCGCAUCAUCGGCCAGUCAUUCUGUGAUUGAGUUUGAGCUGUAGAUGCUGGACCCGAAAGAUGGUGAACUAUGCGUGAGCAGGGCGAAGCCAGAGGAAACUCUGGUGGAGGCUCGAAGCGAUUCUGACGUGCAAAUCGAUCGUUUGACUUGCGUAUAGGGGCGAUAGACUAAUCGAACCAUCUAGUAGCUGGUUCCCUUCGAAAUAUCCCUCAGGAUCGCUGAGACAAGUGGGAGACAGUUUCAUCGGGUAGAGCGAAUGAUUAGAGGAAUCGGGGAUAUAUUACUCUCGACCUAUUCUCAAACUUCCAACCGGUGAGAGUGCCGUUUACUUGAUUGAAAUGGUACGUGGAAUGUCUUUGUCUCAAGUGGGCCAUUUUUGGUAAGCAGAACUGGCGAUGCGGGAUGAACCGAGAGUUGAGCUAAGGUGCCUAAGGACACGUUGAUAGAUACCACAAAAGGAGUCGGUCGAUAAAGACAGCAGGGCGGUGGCCCUGAAAGUAGGAAUCCGCUAAGGAAUUGUCUAAAAACUCACCUGCCGAAUCGACCGGCCCUGAAAAUGGAUGGCGCUGAAGCGUGUCACCGAUGCUUGACCUCUACCACGAGAGAUGUUGGUAGAGGGUAGAAGGGCGCGMCGGUAGCGACAAAGUACAAAGUGUAAACUUGUAUGGAGCUGCCGUCGGUGUAGAUCUUGGUGGUAGUAGCAAUUAUAAAAGUGAAAACCUUUUAGGCCGAAGUGGAGAAGGGUUCCACGUGAACAGCAGUUGGACGUGGGUUAGUCGGUCCUAAGCGGUUGCCUAACGGCUAUUCCAAAGCCAACUUAUAGCUUCUUUCGGGGGGCGUUUGUAGGUUGGACUCCGCGAAAGGGAAUCAGGUUAAUAUUCCUGAACCGGGCUAUGGAGACGCUGCCUUUGGCGCCUUUUCGAUCAAAAGUCGGGAGGGUUGCUGGGGUAGCUUAGCGGUAACGCAAACAAUCUCGGAGACGUUGACAUCUAUGGCGGGGAGAAUUAUCUUUUCUGCAUAACAGGUGAACUACCUUGGAAUCGAGUCGUUCGGAGAUAAGGUAAAAAGCCUGGAAGAGCACCGCAACUAUUGCAGUGUCCGCAUUGUAGGUGUCGGCCCUUGAAAAUCCGAGGGAGUGGAUAAAUUUCAUGCCCGUCCGUACCGAAUCCGCAUCAGGUCUCCUAGGUGAGCAGCCUCUGGCACUGGAACAAUGUAGGUAAGGGAAGUCGGCAAAAUAGAUCCGUAACUUUGGGAAAAGGAUUGGCUCUAAGGGCCGGGCCAAUCGAGCUAGUAUUGCCUAGGCUAGUGGGGGCGUUAUUGGGCUUGUUCGGGGGCAACUCUGGAUAGGUUUGGUGAUGCACACGCUGGCCAUGGAAUGCCGGCGUGAAUUUUGGUUGGCUGAGUGGCCGUUCGCGCGGUUUGCUCAGUCGAUGGGAUUCUUUACGAGUGGCAAGCAUCGGUCAGCUUAGAACUGUUACCAACUUGGGGAAUCCGACUGUUUAAUUAAAACAAAGCAUUGCGAUGGCCGGAAACGGUGUUGACGCAAUGUGAUUUCUGCCCAGUGCUCUGAAUGUCAAAGUGCGGAAACGCAACCAAGCACGGGUAAACGGCGGGAGUAACUAUGACUCUAUUAAGGUAGCCAAAUGCCUCGUCAUCUAAUUAGUGACGCGCAUGAAUGGAUCAACGAGAUUCCCACUGUCCCUACCUACCAUCCAGCGAAACCACAGUCAAGGGAACGGGCUUGACUGAGACAGCGGGGAAAGAAGACCCUGUUGAGCUUGACUCUAGUUUGAUUUUGUGAGAAGACAUGAGGGGUGUAGAAUAGGUGGGAGAUUGCUUUCGGGUAGUCAACAGUGAAAUACCACUACCUUCAUCGUUUUCACACUAAGUCGGUUGCACGGGAAAUACCCGUUCCUUAAUGGGACGGGUGGAUUCGUAGCUAUAUUAGACAGACUGAUCUGUUGACCCAUCGCCGAUGACAGAAUCAGAUG
rnacentral:rRNA from 1 species